rnacentral:rRNA from 1 species
CCUACGGGUGGCAGCAGUGAGGAAUAUUGGUCAAUGGCCGGAAGGCUGAACCAGCCAUGCUGCGUGAAGGUCAGUGCCCUAUGGGCGUUAAACUUCUUUUGUGCGGGAGCAAUAAUGGUCACGUGUGGCCAGACGAGAGUACCGUACGAAUAAGCAUCGGCUAACUCCGUGCCAGCAGCCGCGGUAAUACGGGGGAUGCAAGCGUUAUCCGGAUUUAUUGGGUUUAAAGGGUGCGUAGGCUGUGAGGUAAGUCAGCGGUGAAAUGCCCCCGCUCAACGGGGUGAAGUGCCAUUGAUACUGCCUGGCUGGAAUGCGGAUGCGGUGGGAGGAAUGUGUGGUGUAGCGGUGAAAUGCUUAGAUAUCACGAAGAACACCGAUUGCGAAGGCAGCCUACUAAACUGCCACUGACAUUGAUGCUCGAAAGUGUGGGUAUCAAACAGGAUUAGAUACCCGAGUAGUC